AUCAGCUCAGCCUGUUCCUUUCCUCCCUCAAAAACCCGAGACUGAGCAAGAAGGAACUCCUCAAGAUGGCAGAGGGAGGGCUAGAGACCAGGUCCCUCCGCCGCCGCCCCCGCGGGUGCUUCUGAAGCGCCACUCCACGCAUGCUGUGUGCUGGAGUCAUCUUUCUACAGCGAAUCGGCAAAGAAGGUUAAGGUGGUGCAGUCCAUUCUGAAGGAGAUCAGCCCUGGGAUUUCUUCGGAAGGAAUGAUGCUAAAGCUGAAACUCCAAUACUUUGGCCACCUCAUGCGAAGAGUUGACUCAUUGGAAAAGACCCUGAUGCUGGGGAGGGAUUGGGGGCAGGAGGAGAAGGGGACGACAGAGGGUGAGAUGGCUGGAUGGCAUCACUGACUCGAUGGACGUGAGUCUGAGUGAACUCCGGGAGUUGGUGAUGCAGAGGGAGGCCUGACAUGCUGCGAUUCAUGGGGUCGCAAAGAGUCGGACACGACUGAGCGACUGAACUGAACUGAACUGGG
ensembl:lncRNA